CUGGCGGCGUGCUUCAUACAUGCAAGUCGAGCGGGGUACGGCGGGUGGCUUGCCACCUGUCGUUACUCAGCGGCGAACGGGUGAGUAACACGUGGGCAACCUACCCAUGAGACGGGGAUAACCCCGGGAAACUGGGGCUAAUACCGGAUGUGGUGUGGAUCGCGUAUGCGGUUUGCAUCAAAGGGGGGCCUCUCCUUGGAAGCUCCCGCUUGUGGAUGGGCCCGCGUCCCAUUAGCUAGUUGGUGAGGUAAGGGCUCACCAAGGCGACGAUGGGUAGCCGGCCUGAGAGGGUGUACGGCCACACUGGGACUGAGACACGGCCCAGACUCCUACGGGAGGCAGCAGUAGGGAAUAUUGCGUAAUGGGGGAAACCCUGAGGCAGCGACGCCGCGUGGGUGAUGAAGGCCUUCGGGUUGUAAAGCUCUGUUGAGGGGGAAGAUAGUGACGGUACCCCUUCAGAAAGCCCCGGCUAACUACGUGCCAGCAGCCGCGGUAAGACGUAGGGGGCGAGCGUUGUCCGGAAUUACUGGGCGUAAAGGGCGUGUAGGCGGCAUUCCAAGUCAGCUGUGAAAUUCCCCGGCUCAACCGGGGGUCUGCAGUUGAUACUGCUAGUCUAGAGUACAGUUGAAGUGGGCGGAAUGUAGCAUGUAGCGGUGAAAUGCAUAGAUAUGCUACAGAACACCGAUAGCGAAGGCAGCUCACUAAGCUGUAACUGACGCUNANGCACGAAAGCGUGGGGAUCAAACAGGAUUAGAUACCCUGGUAGUCCACGCUGUAACGAUGAUCACUCGUUGUUGGCGAUACACAGUCAGCGACUGAAC
rnacentral:rRNA from 1 species